AACGAACGCUGGCGGCAGGCCUAACACAUGCAAGUCGAGCGCCCCGCAAGGGGAGCGGCGGACGGGUGAGUAACGCGUGGGAACGUGCCCUUUGCUACGGAAUAGCCUCGGGAAACUGGGAGUAAUACCGUAUGUGCCCUACGGGGGAAAGAUUUAUCGGCAAAGGAUCGGCCCGCGUUGGAUUAGGUAGUUGGUGGGGUAAUGGCCUACCAAGCCGACGAUCCAUAGCUGGUUUGAGAGGAUGAUCAGCCACACUGGGACUGAGACACGGCCCAGACUCCUACGGGAGGCAGCAGUGGGGAAUAUUGGACAAUGGGCGAAAGCCUGAUCCAGCAAUGCCGCGUGAGUGAUGAAGGCCUUAGGGUUGUAAAGCUCUUUUACCUGGGAUGAUAAUGACGGUACCAGGAGAAUAAGCCCCGGCUAACUCCGUGCCAGCCGCCGCAGUAAUAC
rnacentral:rRNA from 1 species